rnacentral:rRNA from 4 species
GACCUCGGAUCAGGUAGGGAUA